ACCAGCAGCUAUAUCACCCUGCAGCUCACAGCUGGCAGCCCACUGAAGCUCAGCAGGUGUGAGCCUGGUCAGUACCUGGAUGGGAGACUCAUGGGAAAAAACAGGUUUCUGCUGGAA
ensembl:rRNA 5S_rRNA 5S ribosomal RNA